rnacentral:rRNA from 1 species
GACGUAGGGCGCAAGCGUUGUCCGGAUUUAUUGGGCGUAAAGAGCUCGUAGGCGGCUCGUUGCGUCGGCUGUGAAAACCCGCAGCUCAACUGUGGGCUUGCAGCCGAUACGGGCGGGCUGGAGUUCGGUAGGGGAGACUGGAAUUCCUGGUGUAGCGGUGAAAUGCGCAGAUAUCAGGAGGAACACCGGUGGCGAAGGCGGCUACCUGGACAGAAACUGACGCUGAGGCGCGAAAGCUAGGGGAGCAAACAGG